rnacentral:ncRNA from 21 species
CCUUUGCCCUCGAAUUUUGGUUGUUGUUUCUGAAUUUUUCAAAACAACAUUAAAAGGGAAUUAGGUGUAAAACCUAAGCUGUACCCGCAACUGUAAGCUAUAAAGCUUGUUAUUAUCUACAUUACCAUUGUUCGCCUUGGCGAAUGAGAAGGUUGAUAACAAGACGCAAGCCAGGAGACCUGCCACAUUCAUUGAGUAACAA